rnacentral:lncRNA from 10 species
AAAAAUUUAAAUAAAAAAAAAUUUUUUGGGAUGGGGUCUGGCUAUGUUCCCCAGGCUGGCCGUGAGCUCCUGGGCUCAAGCGAUCCUCCCACCUUGAUCUCCCAAAGUGCUGGAUUACAGGAGUGAGCCACCACUCCCGACCUCAAGCAGCCUUUUGUAGAGCCUUUUUUGUGGAGAGACUUAAGCCUCCCACCAACAACCAGCACUGAUUUGCCUGCCUGUCUCAUUGAAGAUUUUCAAUGGCCUUUCGGAAUUACGGGACUUACCCAGCUCUGCCAGGUGUUUAUUAAUCCAGCCUAUAAGCUUCUCUAGACCUAGGACUAUGGUGCCUGCACAGAAGAUGUGCUCAACAUAUAACUGAUUAAAUAACUUAAUGAGUAAAUGAAGGACUGGACUCGUUUGUGGGCCAUAUUUGGAGGUGACUUUGUAAACUCUAACAGCAUGGGAUUUUAAUAAGCUGUCUUCAUAGCUUGGACCAUGGGCUUAGGACAGUGUUGGGUACGUUAUUGAUGAUCAAGGAAUACUGAAGAGCUGUUUUCCUAUUUUGGUGCAGAUGUGGAGAGAGGAUUGCUUGAGACUCUUCCCAGCUCUUGAGAUUCCAUCUCGUGCAUAUCUCUUCUACACUCAAUCAGCAUCUCUAGAGGAGGUGCCAGCUCUCUCAACAAGUAAUUCCUUUUGGCCCCAUCACAGAAGGGAAGUACAAUCAACAGCAAUGAAGCUUCUUUAUUCCUUGCUAAUUUAGUGCCACGACACAUGAUAUGCACAGCUUUGUGAGUGGGAGGGUUUCAAAGCAGGAAGCUUUGGAUCUGACUUAGGGAGGCUGGUUAUCCACUUACGAUACUUGACUUAGCAGAAGCCAGUCUUUGUGAAAGCUGUUAUGGGGCCCCCUGCUGGCAUUGUGACAUGGAGACACUUCAUCUUCAGUGAACCUACAGUUCCCUCUGGGAAGCUUCAAGUUCAACAGGGCUGUGGACUUGCAGAGAUUCUUGCUGUAGGCUAGGAAAGUAGAUUGUAGUACUAGUACUACUGCUAGUACUACGUUUUCUACUAUCUUUGGGUUUCUUGGGCCACUUUGAAACUCUAACCACAGUGUUUUCAAACUUGCAAUGGUAAAAUGCAUUGUAAAUAAAAAUUUUAACUU